rnacentral:rRNA from 1 species
UCAAGAUAAGAUUUCCCACCGCAAGGGUAAGACUCCAGAAAGACUAUCUGGUUGAUAGGUCGAAGGUGUAAGUGCAGCAAUGUAUUUAGCUUAUCGAUACUAAUAGGUCGAGGACUUGACCAAUAUUUAUU